rnacentral:rRNA from 1 species
GAUGAACGCUGGCGGCGUGCCUAAUACAUGCAAGUCGAGCGAACGGACGAGAAGCUUGCUUCUCUGAUGUUAGCGGCGGACGGGUGAGUAACACGUGGAUAACCUACCUAUAAGACUGGGAUAACUUCGGGAAACCGGAGCUAAUACCGGAUGAUAUUUUGAACCGCAUGGUUCAAAAGUGAAAGACGGUCUUGCUGGCACUUAUAGAUGGAUCCGCGCUGCAUUAGCUAGUUGGUAAGGUAACGGCUUACCAAGGCAACGAUGCAUAGCCGACCUGAGGGGGUGAUCGGCCACACUGGAACUGAGACACGGUCCAGACUCCUACGGGAGGCAGCAGUAGGGAACCUUCCGCAAAGGGCGAAAGCCUGACGGAGCAACGCCGCGUGAGUGAUGAAGGUCUUCGGAUCGUAAAACUCUGUUAUUAGGGAAGAACAUAUGUGUAAGUAACUGUGCACAUCUUGACGGUACCUAAUCAGAAAGCCACGGCUAACUACGUG